rnacentral:rRNA from 1 species
UGAGGAACCUGCCCCGAAGACCGGGAUAACCCUCCGAAAGGAGAGCUAAUACCGGAUGCCCCACCGGACCGCAUGAUCUGGUGAGGAAAUGGAUUCCGCUUCGGGAGGGCCUCGCGGCCUAUCAGCUUGUUGGUGGGUAACGGCCCACCAAGGCAACGACGGGUAGCUGGUCUGAGAGGACGAUCAGCCACACUGGGACUGAGACACGGCCCAGACUCCUACGGGAGCAGCAG